GGACCCGCACAAGCGGUGGAGCAUGUGGUUUAAUUCGAUGCAACGCGAAGAACCUUACCAGGGUUUGACAUCCUGCGAAUCUCUUGGAAACGAGAGAGUGCCUUCGGGAGCGCAGUGACAGGUGGUGCAUGGCUGUCGUCAGCUCGUGUCGUGAGAUGUUGGGUUAAGUCCCGCAACGAGCGCAACCCACGUCUUUAGUUGCCAGCAUUUAGUUGGGCACUCUAGAGGGACUGCCGGCGUUAAGCCGGAGGAAGGUGGGGAUGACGUCAAGUCCUCAUGGCCCUUAUGCCCAGGGCUACACACGUGCUACAAUGGUCGGUACAGAGGGUCGCGAUACCGCAAGGUGGAGCCAAUCUCAUAAACUCGGUCUCAGUUCGGAUUGCAGGCUGCAACUCGCCUGCAUGAAGUUGGAAUC
rnacentral:rRNA from 1 species